CUUCAGUGCUGUGUUCAGGGGCUAGCCAGCCACCCAGAGAACAGGCAUGUAGGGGGGUGGCGUAGGAGUGUUAGAUGAUUGCUGUUUUUCUACUGUUUUUGUGAGAUUCUCAGGUCAGCGUGGCUUGUGGAUCUAACCAUAACUGUCUUCUCUGUGAUUCUAGGUGCUGUCUGCGCUGCAGAAAGACAGCCGGGAUAUGGAAAAAGGAAGCCCUUCACUCAGACACUGAGGCUCAGGGGUAACUCCUACUUGGCAUUGAAGCAGAGCUCCACAUGGCACCUGUGUGCUUUCAGACUAAAGCCUGGGAAGAACAGGGGCUCUUUCCAUGUUGGAUUUCUAAUGCUGAAGUUGGCCUUAAAACAAAACAGCUCUUAAAGAAUUACAUCCAGGCUUAGCCUUAAGCAGCUCAGUGAACCUAUGCACUGGCAUUGGUCAUGGCUAGCCACUGCAUUUUCCACAUGGGCUCAAGAAAGGGCAGGCUGUCUCCUUGCUCCUUUAUUCCAGCAGCAGUUAAUUAAAUUAUGAUGCUAUUAUGCCAACUACUGGAAGGUACAUUACAAUCUUUCUUAGCCAAGAUGCAUGAGAAAUAUUAUUAGGAGACCUCAGAGAUGUUAUUGGUUCAUAUGUUGGAUAAGAAAGGAAUUACUUAUUUAGUUACUGAGAUAAUUUUUUUCCGAGAUGAAGGGUAUGUUUUAAAUCUCCCUACCAAGGAAAAGUGUAAGAAAGAUGGACCCUUAGGGUAGGGUAGUUGCUGGUGAAUGUUCAUAGGCUCCUAAAAAUUCUCCUGACUUUGUGUUGACAUUUGACUCAGUUGCCUUGACACAUGAUAGCAGGAAGACUGAUUCACAUUAGGAUCCCACUCUCCAAAGUAGCACUCACUGCAUUUUGGAGUCAUGGUUGUUGGAGCAGGGGAACCACAUGCUGGGAAGGGAUAGAGAUGGGCCUUGUAAAGAAAGGGGUAGGAAGAGACUGCAAAAUUUACUCCUCUCUUACCUGCUUGUUUCUGAGCAGCUGGGCAUGGAAGCCUCUGAAAACACCAUUUCUUUGGGCAAUGGUUUCCUUGUUUUAACUGAGUCCCUUUUUGCCUUUGUCACCUGAGUAGCUGGACCUCUUCUAAGUGCCAGUGAUUCUCUCCUGUCUCCAUCUGUUUUUAUAAAAUAAGCUUCACACACUGCUGUGAGGAGCAACGAGUAAGGCAGUCUUCCAGAUUCUUAGUGUCAUCGGCCCUUCUCCAUUCCAGCUGAUUUCUCUCAGCUCAUUAGUGAGGUUCUUAUUGUUGUACCUUUUCUUUGACUUGAGAACUUUGUAUAAGUAAUUUGAUUGUCCAAAUUCACAGAAAUGAGUAAUUUUUGCAUAGAAUAAUACAAAGGGCGUCCAGUAGCUGUGGAAAUUACCUCCUGAUAAUCCACUGGCAUCCUUAUUUCUGGGGGUACAGGUAGGCCAGGGUUGAGAACAUUUUCCAGCAAAUGCCUGUGUGAUCUUCACAGCCCUCUGCAACCAAACCUGCUACCCCCAGAAAUCAUCCUCUCCAUUGUUCUAGUUUCUGACAGCCAUUGGGAAGCCCUCAACUGACAUGUUACAGGGAGACUUGGGUCAGCCUGAUGACAAUAUGUUUGCAUGGGUUUCCUUCAUCUGCUGUGCUUGUUUGUGAUAGUCCAGUGCAUCAGCAGGCUGUCAUAUUCAUGCCAUUCACCAUGCUACCACUUUUCUUUUUUUCCUGGAGUCUCAUUUGUAGUCCCACAGCUUUUCCAGGGAGGCUACAGAGCACCCUCCAUAUAGCUCUCUGCCUUAGUGUGAAAGGCUGAUGUCUGACCUCUUGGAGGAGGAUGUCUUCACCAGUCAUCCAGUGGCCUCCAGAUCCAGCCAUUCUUGACAUCAGUUCCUGAAUGUAGCCCAGGCCCAGCUGGCCUGUAAGAAGCGGACUACCCAACCCUGUCUGCUGUCAUUCCUUGCAGAUGUACUUAGUUUUUUUCCAUGACAUGGGCAUCUGUUCUCUCAAGAUGUAUAUAUUUUCUUACUGUACAUAAAGACAUUCCUUAAGUCAUACAGAAUGUGUUGUGACAAGGGGACUUGGGCACCUUGUUGUGAAUGCCAUUGUGGAAUUCUCUGUGUGUUCACAACCCAGCUCUUAACUUUUCUUGUUUGACAUAAAUCUGUGAGCUUGCAUGAAGUUCUCAAACAAGACUCCAUGCCAGCCAAGCACUGACUGAUCUCCAAACAGGGUUUUCAUAGUCUGUUUGUGUGAGCCUGAUGUGCCCUCCUUAGAGGCUAUAUAGUUCCAAGUUCGUCUACUCUGAGGGCAUCUCUCAUACUCUUUCCUGUUUGGGCAAACUGGAAACAGACCCUGCAGAAGUCUGCACCUCCCACCUCACUUGCUGUUGACUUUCAGUCCCAAACUUGAGGGUGCUGGGCAGCUCUCACUCUAAAGGGAGCUUGCAGGAGAGGCUUCCUGUCACCUUGGGAGCAGUGCUCACUUCAAAGGUACUUCUAACUGUUCAGUUUGUGACUAUUUUUAAACAGUUUGCCAAUAGGAAACUCCUGAUAACACUUGCUACAUAUCAUGUUUUAAUUGCUUGUACAGUUAACCUUUAAUUUUAUUUAGUAAAGUGUAUCAAACUAGGACUUUUUGAAUUGUAAAUAUGUGGUUUUAUUAAAAUAAAGUCAUGUAAAAU
ensembl:lncRNA